GCAGUAGUGAGCAGACGCUGCAGCUGGUGCCCAGGCUUUAAGAAGGUUGCGAGUUUGACAGAAAGAAGCUCCUAGGUUCUCUGUAAUUCUGACUGUUCUGAAACCUCACAGAGAUCCACCUGCUUCUGCCUCCCAAAGGCUGGGAUUAAAGGCUUGCACCACUAUGCCUUACUCAAGCAACUUGCCAUCAAUAUCAAGAGUUACAGAUCGCUAAACACAAGCUGACCCUACGGCACUUUCUUCCUCAAGAAUAAAAUUUGUUGCUGGGCAGUGGUGGCGCAUGCCUGUAAUCCCAGCACUUGGGAGGCAGAGGCAGGCAGAUUUCUGAGUUCGAGGCCAUCCUGGUCUACAGAGUGAGUUCCAGGACAGCCAGGGCUACACGGAGAAACCCUGUCUCGGAAAAAAACCAAA